GCGGGUAUAGCUCAGCGGUAGAGUAUAACCUUGCCAAGGUUAAUGUCGCGCGUUCAAAUCGCGUUGCCCGCU
rnacentral:tRNA from 1 species